AGAGUUUGAUCCUGGCUCAGGACGAACGCUGGCGGCGUGCCUAACACAUGCAAGUCGAGCGAGAGACUUCGGUCUCUAGCGGCGGACGGGUGAGUAACACGUGGGUAACCUGCCUCAGUGAGGGGGAUAGCCUCCCGAAAGGGAGAUUAAUACCGCAUAACAUCAUGCUGUCGCAUGGCAGUAUGAUCAAAGGAGUAAUCCGCACUGAGAUGGGCCCGCGGCGCAUUAGCUAGUUGGCGAGGUAAAGGCUCACCAAGGCGACGAUGCGUAGCCGACCUGAGAGGGUGAUCGGCCACAUUGGAACUGAGACACGGUCCAGACUCCUACGGGAGGCAGCAGUGGGGAAUAUUGCACAAUGGGCGAAAGCCUGAUGCAGCAACGCCGCGUGAGUGAUGAAGGCCUUCGGGUUGUAAAGCUCUGUCUUCUGGGACGAUUAUGACGGUACCAGAGGAGGAAGCCACGGCUAACUACGUGCCAGCAGCCGCGGUAAUACGUAGGUGGCAAGCGUUGUCCGGAUUUACUGGGCGUAAAGGAUGCGUAGGCGGAUAUUUAAGUCAGAUGUGAAAACCCCGGGCUUAACUUGGGGACUGCAUUUGAAACUGGGUAUCUAGAGUGCGGGAGAGGAAAGUGGAAUUCCUAGUGUAGCGGUGAAAUGCGUAGAGAUUAGGAAGAACACCAGUGGCGAAGGCGACUUUCUGGACCGUAACUGACGCUGAGGCAUGAAAGCGUGGGGAGCAAACAGGAUUAGAUACCCUGGUAGUCCACGCUGUAAACGAUGGGUACUAGGUGUGGGGGUUGUCAUGACCUCUGUGCCGCAGUUAACACAAUAAGUACCCCGCCUGGGGAGUACGGUCGCAAGGAUUAAAACUCAAAGGGAAUUGACG
rnacentral:rRNA from 1 species